UACGUAGGGUGCGAGCGUUAAUCGGAAUUAUUGGGCGUAAAGAGCGUGUAGGCGGUCCGGUAAGUCAGCUGUGAAAGUCAAGGGCUCAACCCUUGAAUGCCGGUUGAUACUGUCGGGCUAGAGUCCGGAAGAGGCGAGUGGAAUUCCCGGUGUAGCGGUGAAAUGCGCAGAUAUCGGGAGGAACACCAAUGGCGAAGGCAGCUCGCUGGGACGGUACUGACGCUGAGACGCGAAAGCGUGGGGAGCAAACAGG
rnacentral:rRNA from 1 species